rnacentral:rRNA from 1 species
CAAAAACAUCGCCUCUUGAAAAUAUAAUAUAAGAGGUCCCGCCUGCCCUGUGACUAUAUGUUUAACGGCCGCGGUAUUUUGACCGUGCGAAGGUAGCGCAAUCACUUGUCUCUUAAAUGGGGACCUGUAUGAAUGGCACAACGAGGGCUUAACUGUCUCCUUUCUUAAGUCAAUGAAAUUGAUCUCCCCGUGCAGAAGCGGGGAUUUAUACAUAAGACGAGAAGACCCUAUGGAGCUUUAGACACUGGGGUCAACCAUGUAAGAAACCCUAAUUAAAGGAAUAAACUAGAUGGACCCUGGCCCACUGUCUUUGGUUGGGGCGACCGCGGGGAAAUACAAAACCCCCACGUGGAAUGGGAGGACCCCUCCUAAAACCCAGAGCCACAGCUCUAGUAUACAGAAUAUCUGACCAAUAUGAUCCGGCAGAGCCGAUCAACGGACCGAGUUACCCUAGGGAUAACAGCGCAAUCCCCUUUUAGAGCCCAUAUCGACAAGGGGGUUUACGACCUCGAUGUUGGAUCAGGACAUCCUAAUGGUGCAGCCGCUAUUAAGGGUUCGUUUGUUCAACGAUUAAAGUCCUACGUGAUCU